AAUCAUUUGUCUUUUAAAUGAAGACUUGUAUGAACGGCAAAACCUCCUCCAACUGUCUCCCCUCCCAUCCUUCCAAAUUUCCUCCUGUGUGAAGAAGCGCAGAUACACCAGAAAGACGAGAAGACCCUGUCGAGCUUUAACCACUAAGUGGGCCUUACCCUUUCAGGCACCACCCAAAGGUUUUGGUUGGGGCAACCACGGAGAAAAAACAUCCUCCAGAACGAAUAGAAGAAAGCUUUUCACUAUUAUUACGACUAAGAACCAGGAACUGGUAUUCGGAAAGAGUUACCGCAGGGAUAACAGCGUCAUCUCCUCUAAGAGUCCUUAUUGACGAGGAGGUUUGCGACCUCGAUGUUGGAUUGGGGCCCCCUUAGGGUGCAGAAGCUCUAAACGGUUAGACUGUUCGUCUAUUAAAGCCCUACAUGAUCUGAGUUCAAACCGGAG
rnacentral:rRNA from 1 species